UAAGGCAAGUGGAUGAUCGCUGGUUUUAAUGUGCAAACAUUUGAAAAUCAGAGGAAAGUCCGGACUCUACGAGGGAAAAAUACCAGCUAACGGCUGGCCACGCAGCCUGAAUAAACUAGGGCGGCUGAGGGAAAGUGUCACAGAAAAUAUACCGCUAGAUUAUGCCGCCCAUGAUCCCCUUAUUUAAGGGGAUCGAGUCGACGCGUUAGCGCGACGAUGGGGUUGCAUAACUAGUAAGGGUGAAAACGCGAGGUAAGAGCUCACGCGCUUCUAUGGCAACAUAGAUUUGGAAAAACCCUAUUUAGAGCAAGACCAAAUAGGAACGGCAAAUUCUUCAAUGAAUAAAUGACCUCGCAUUGUCGUUCGGGUAGGUUGCUUGAGGUUAACAGCGAUGUUAAUCCUAGAUGAAUGAUCGUCGCCCGCUUUUGCUAAGGCUGAAGCGUGGUACAAAAUCCGGCUUAUAGCUUGUCUUACAUU
rnacentral:RNase_P_RNA from 1 species